AGUUACGUAUUGCUGGUGCUGUUCUCGCAAAGGCAGAAAGUAGUCAGAGUUUGAUCCUGGCUCAGAUUGAACGCUGGCGGCAUGCCUUACACAUGCAAGUCGAACGGUAACAGGAGCUUGCUCCGCUGACGAGUGGCGAACGGGUGAGUAAUACAUCGGAACGUGCCCAGUAAUGGGGAUAGCUCGGCGAAAGCCGGAUUAAUACCGCAUACGCCCUGAGGGGGAAAGUGGGGGACCGCAAGGCCUCACGUUAUUGGAGCGGCCGAUGGCUGAUUAGCUAGUUGGUAGGGUAAAGGCCUACCAAGGCGACGAUCAGUAGCUGGUCUGAGAGGACGAUCAGCCACACUGGGACUGAGACACGGCCCAGACUCCUACGGAGGCAGCAGUGGGGAAUUUUGGACAAUGGGGGAAACCCUGAUCCAGCAAUGCCGCGUGUGCGAAGAAGGCCUUCGGGUUGUAAAGCACUUUUUYMRGGAAAAAAWCCUUUGGGCUAAUACCCWAGGGGAUGACGGUACCUGAAGAAUAAGCACCGGCUAACUACGUGCCAGCAGCCGCGGUAAUACGUAGGGUGCAAGCGUUAAUCGGAAUUACUGGGCGUAAAGCGUGCGCAGGCGGUUGUGUAAGACAGGUGUGAAAYCCCGGGCUUAACCUGGGAAUUGCAUUUGUGACUGCACGACUAGAGUGUGUCAGAGGGGGUGGAAUUCCACGUGUAGCAGUGAAAUGCGUAGAUAUGUGGAGGAACACCAAUGGCGAAGGCAGCCCCCUGGGAUAACACUGACGCUCAUGCACGAAAGCGUGGGGAGCAAACAGGAUUAGAUACCCUGGUAGUCCACGCCCUAAACGAUGUCAACUAGUUGUUGGGGAUUUACUUCCUUGGUAACGUAGCUAACGCGUGAAGUUGACCGCCUGGGGAGUACGGCCGCAAGGUUAAAACUCAAAGGAAUUGACGGGGACCCGCACAAGCGGUGGAUGAUGUGGAUUAAUUCGAUGCAACGCGAAAACCUUACCUACCCUUGACAUGGCAGGAACUUUCCAGAGAUGGAUUGGUGCUCGAAAGAGAACCUGCACACAGGUGCUGCAUGGCUGUCGUCAGCUCGUGUCGUGAGAUGUUGGGUUAAGUCCCGCAACGAGCGCAACCCUUGUCAUUAGUUGCUACGAAAGGGCACUCUAAUGAGACUGCCGGUGACAAACCGGAGGAAGGUGGGGAUGACGUCAAGUCCUCAUGGCCCUUAUGGGUAGGGCUUCACACGUCAUACAAUGGUCGGUACAGAGGGUUGCCAAGCCGCGAGGUGGAGCCAAUCCCAGAAAGCCGAUCGUAGUCCGGAUCGUAGGCUGCAACUCGCCUGCGUGAAGUCGGAAUCGCUAGUAAUCGCGGAUCAGCAUGUCGCGGUGAAUACGUUCCCGGGUCUUGUACACACCGCCCGUCACACCAUGGGAGCGGGUUCCGCCAGAAGUAGGUAGCCUAACCGCAAGGAGGGCGCUUACCACGGCGGGGUUCGUGACUGGGGUGAAGUCGUAACAAGGUAGCCGUAGGAACCUGCGGCUGGAUCACCUCCUUUCUAGAGAAGCAUCUUGGCACCCACAACUUAUCGGUUGUUCAGUCGUAGCAAACAGACGAGGGUCUGUAGCUCAGUCGGUUAGAGCACCGUCUUGAUAAGGCGGGGGUCGUUGGUUCGAUUCCAACCAGACCCACCACGUCUCAAAACGGGGGAUUAGCUCAGCUGGGAGAGCACCUGCUUUGCAAGCAGGGGGUCAACGGUUCGAUCCCGUUAUCCUCCACCAGAACUUAAAGAUAAGCAGAGUUGCUUAUCUUUAGCGUUUGGUGAAAACCAAUUGCUACGCUCUUUAACAAAAUGGAAGAAGGUUGUGUAACGCUGUGAUGAGCAGCGGAUACACGUUGUGAUUGCAUCUGUUCUUGUCUUACAGCUAGGACAAGACAGCACAAAUGAGUUGCCUGUAGCCGGCUCUCGAAAGAGAGCACAAGGUUAUAGGAUCAAGCGACUAAGUGCAUGUGGUGGAUGCCUUGGCGAUCACAGGCGAUGAAGGACGUGCAAGCCUGCGAAAAGCGGGGGAGCUGGCAAUGAAGCUUUGAUCCCCGAUAUCCGAAUGGGGAAACCCACUCAGCAAUGAGUAUCCUGAUCUGAAUACAUAGGGUCAGGAGGCGAACCCGGUGAACUGAAACAUCUAAGUAGCCGGAGGAAAAGAAAUCAACCGAGAUUCCCCAAGUAGUGGCGAGCGAACGGGGAAGAGCCUGCUAGUGAUAGCGGAGAUGUUAAUGGAACGGAAUGGAAAGUCCGGCCGUAGUGGGUGAUAGCCCCGUACAUGAAAACAACUCCGUGGUACUAAGUUAGCGAAAAGUAGGGCGGGGCACGUGAAACCUUGUCUGAACAUGGGGGACCAUCCUCCAAGGCUAAAUACUCGUGAUCGACCGAUAGUGAACCAGUACCGUGAGGGAAAGGCGAAAAAAACCCCGGGGGGAGUGAAAUAGAACCUGAAACCGCAUGCAUACAAACAGUGGGAGCCUCCUUGUGGGGUGACUGCGUACCUUUUGUAUAAUGGGUCAGCGACUUACGUUAUGUUGCGAGCUUAACCGAAUAGGGAGGCGUAGCGAAAGCGAGUCUGAUAAGGGCGUUUAGUAGCAUGGCGUAGACCCGAAACCGGAUGAUCUAUCCAUGGCCAGGAUGAAGGUGCCGUAACAGGUACUGGAGGUCCGAACCCACUAACGUUGAAAAGUUAGGGAUGAGCUGUGGAUAGGGGUGAAAGGCUAAACAAAUCCGGAAAUAGCUGGUUCUCCCCGAAAACUAUUUAGGUAGUGCGUCACAUAUCACUUCCGGGGGUAAAGCACUGUUAUGGCUAGGGGGUCAUCGCGACUUACCAAACCAUGGCAAACUCUGAAUACCGGAAAGUGCGAGUGUGGCAGACAGACAGUGGGUGCUAACGUCCAUUGUCAAGAGGGAAACAACCCAGACCGCCAGCUAAGGUCCCCAAGACACAGUUAAGUGGGAAACGAGGUGGGAAGGCAUAGACAGCUAGGAGGUUGGCUUAGAAGCAGCCAUCCUUUAAAGAAAGCGUAAUAGCUCACUAGUCGAGUCGUCCUGCGCGGAAGAUGUAACGGGGCUCAAACUGUGCACCGAAGCUGCGGAUAUCGAAAGAUAUGGUAGGGGAGCGUUCUGUAGGUCUGUGAAGGUGUCUUGUAAAGGAUGCUGGAGAUAUCAGAAGUGCGAAUGCUGACAUGAGUAGCGAUAAAGGGAGUGAAAASCCCCCCGCCGAAAGCCCAAGGUUUCCUACGCAACGUUCAUCGGCGUAGGGUGAGUCGGCCCCUAAGGCGAGGCAGAAAUGCGUAGUCGAUGGGAAACAGGUCAAUAUUCCUGUACCGAUUCUAGAUGCGAUGUGGGGACGGAGAAGGUUAGGUCAGCCAACUGUUGGAAUAGUUGGUUUAAGCGUGUAGGCGUGCCCCUUWGGSAAAWCCGGGGGCUUAGCUGAGGCGUGACGACGAGGCACUACGGUGCUGAAGUGAUUGAUACCAAGCUUCCAGGAAAAGCCACUAAGCUUCAGUCUAGAAUUGACCGUACCGCAAACCGACACAGGUGGGCAGGAUGAAAAUUCUAAGGCGCUUGAGAGAACUCAGGAGAAGGAACUCGGCAAAUUGACACCGUAACUUCGGGAGAAGGUGUGCCCCGGUAGGUUGUAGAGCCUCGCGCUCGAAGGCCGAUGGGGUUGCAGUGAAAUGGUGGCUGCGACUGUUUAAUAAAACACAGCACUCUGCAAACACGAAAGUGGACGUAUAGGGUGUGACGCCUGCCCGGUGCUGGAAGAUUAAAUGAUGGGGUGCAAGCUCUUGAUUGAAGUCCCAGUAAACGGCGGCCGUAACUAUAACGGUCCUAAGGUAGCGAAAUUCCUUGUCGGGUAAGUUCCGACCUGCACGAAUGGCGUAACGAUGGCCACACUGUCUCCUCCUGAGACUCAGCGAAGUUGAAAUGUUUGUGAAGAUGCAAUCUCCCCGCGGCAAGACGGAAAGACCCCAUGAACCUUUACUGUAGCUUUGCAUUGGACUUUGAACCGGUUUGUGUAGGAUAGGUGGGAGGCUGUGAAACCGGGACGCCAGUUUCGGUGGAGCCAACCUUGAAAUACCACCCUGAUUUGUUUGAGGUUCUAACCUUGACCAGUGAAUCCUGGUCGGGGACCGUGCAUGGUAGGCAGUUUGACUGGGGCGGUGACUACUUUCUGCCUUGCGAGAACAGCACCAGCCACAACUGAACGAAGCAUGUUCG
rnacentral:rRNA from 1 species